rnacentral:rRNA from 1 species
AACGAACGCUGGCGGCAUGCCUUACACAUGCAAGUCGAACGGUAACAGGUCUUCGGAUGCUGACGAGUGGCGAACGGGUGAGUAAUACAUCGGAACGUGCCUAGUAGUGGGGGAUAACUACCCGAAAGAGUGGCUAAUACCGCAUGAGAUCUACGGAUGAAAGCAGGGGAUCGCAAGACCUUGUGCUACUAGAGCGGCCGAUGGCAGAUUAGGUAGUUGGUGGGAUAAAAGCUUACCAAGCCGACGAUCUGUAGCUGGUCUGAGAGGACGAUCAGCCACACUGGGACUGAGACACGGCCCAGACUCCUACGGGAGGCAGCAGUGGGGAAUUUUGGACAAUGGGCGAAAGCCUGAUCCAGCAAUGCCGCGUGCAGGAUGAAGGCCUUCGGGUUGUAAUCUGCUUUUGUACGGAACGAAAAGCCCCGGGUUAAUACCCUGGGGUCAUGACGGUACCGUAAGAAUAAGCACCGGCUAACUACGUGCCAGCAGCCGCCGCAGUAA